rnacentral:rRNA from 1 species
UUAAAUUGAAGAGUUUGAUCAUGGCUCAGAUUGAACGCUGGCGGCAGGCCUAACACAUGCAAGUCGAACGGUAACAGGAAGCAGCUUGCUGCUUCGCUGACGAGUGGCGGACGGGUGAGUAAUGUCUGGGAAACUGCCUGAUGGAGGGGGAUAACUACUGGAAACGGUGGCUAAUACCGCAUAACGUCGCAAGACCAAAGAGGGGGACCUUCGGGCCUCUUGCCAUCAGAUGUGCCCAGAUGGGAUUAGCUAGUUGGUGAGGUAACGGCUCACCAAGGCGACGAUCCCUAGCUGGUCUGAGAGGAUGACCAGCCACACUGGAACUGAGACACGGUCCAGACUCCUACGGGAGGCAGCAGUGGGGAAUAUUGCACAAUGGGCGCAAGCCUGAUGCAGCCAUGCCGCGUGUAUGAAGAAGGCCUUCGGGUUGUAAAGUACUUUCAGCGGGGAGGAAGGUGUUGUGGUUAAUAACCACAGCAAUUGACGUUACCCGC